rnacentral:rRNA from 1 species
CGAAGGCAAGCGGAUCUCUUAAAGCUGUUCUCAGUUCGGACUGCAGUCUGCAACUCGACUGCACGAAGCUGGAAUCGCUAGUAAUCGCGGAUCAGCACGCCGCGGUGAAUACGUUCCCGGGCCUUGUACACACCGCCCGUCACACCAUGGAAGUCUGCAAUGCCCGAAGCCGGUGGCCUAACCACUUAUGUGGAAGGAGCCGUCUAAGGCAGGGCAGAUGGCUGGGGUGAAGUCGUAACAAGGUACC